GACGAACCGUGCGAACGUUGUUCGGAAUCACUGGGCUUAAAGGGUGUGUAGGCGGUCUGUCAAGUCAGGGGUGAAAUCUUUCGGCUCAACCGGAAAACUGCCUUUGAUACUGACAGGCUCGAGGGAGAUAGGGGUUGCGGGAACUACCAGUGGAGCGGUGAAAUGCGUUGAUAUUGGUAGGAACGCCGGUGGCGAAAGCGCGCAACUGGACCUCUUCUGACGCUGAAACACGAAAGCUAGGGGAGCAAACGGG
rnacentral:rRNA from 1 species